rnacentral:lncRNA from 1 species
GGUCUUGUCACAAUAGAGGCCAUCUGGGAUGAUGGUCGGGGAAAUUUUGACUGCCACUGGAAAAUGAUGGUAUAUUGGAUAGGGACAGAAAUUUUGCCUUGCAACAGGCCACCUACGGACCCCUCAAAGAGUUGUUGCAAGGGUUCUUAACGUGCAAAGAACGUGGCACUCUCUUUACACGAGACAUCGGAUUUAACGUCCCCAUUCCGACCGGGCGUGACUGCGAACUUGAAACAUCCCGCACAGCCAAACGGACGCCCCACUU